rnacentral:rRNA from 1 species
UACGAAGGGGGCUAGCGUUGCUCGGAAUCACUGGGCGUAAAGCGCACGUAGGCGGUCUUUUAAGUCAGGGGUGAAAUCCUGGAGCUCAACUCCAGAACUGCCUUUGAUACUGGCGAUCUCGAGUCCGGGAGAGGUGAGUGGAACUGCGAGUGUAGAGGUGAAAUUCGUAGAUAUUCGCAAGAACACCAGUGGCGAAGGCGGCUCACUGGCCCGGUACUGACGCUGAGGUGCGAAAGCGUGGGGAGCAAACAGG